ensembl:lncRNA
UUCUUUUCCAUUAUAGUUAAUUACAAGAUAGUGACUAUAGUUCCCUGGGCUAUACAGUAAAUCCUUGUCAUUUAUCUACUUUGUAGGUGGUGAUGGGUCCGUUAAUCACCCCACCCGCGUUCCCCUUUGGUAACCAUGUUUGUUUUCUAUGUCUGAGAGUCUCUUUCUGUUUUGUAAAUACGUUUUUGUACCGUGUUUUAGAUUCCACCUAUAAGUGAUAGUAUAACAUUUGUCUUUGUCUUAACUUUACUUAGUAGGACAAUCUCUAGGUCCAUCUAUGUUGCUGCAAAUGGCAUUAUUUCAUUCUUUUUUAUGGCUGAGUAAUUGUAUAUUGUGUAUUUAUAUAGCACAUUUUCUUUAGACAUUCAUCUGUUGAUGGGCAUUUAGCUUGCUUCCAUGUCUUGGUUAUUAUAAAUAGUGCUGUGUUGGACCCUGGGGUGCAUGUAUCUUGAAAAGAUAAUUUUAAAUGUUGGUUUAUUUGCUCUUAUGCCAGGUAUGAAUCAACCAAACUUCAGAAAGCCUUAGGAGUUGCUGCUGUGGUGCAGUGAGUUAAGAAUCCGGCUGAAGCAGCUUGGGUCUUUGUGGAGGUGCAGGUUUGAUUCUCACCCUGUCACAGUGGGUUGAAGGUUCUGGCAUUGCCACAGCUGUGGCUCUGAUUCAGUCCCUGGCCUGGGAACUUCCAUAUGCCACAGGUGUAGCCAUUAAAAAAAAAAAAGGCUUUAAUAUGUUUGUGAUAAUACCCUAAGUAUAUAAUAACUGCUUUAAGGAAUUAGAAUACUUGGAUAAAUAGGGAAAUCACUUCCCUUAAGCAAACUGGCAUUCAGGUUCUUAGGUUCAGUGAAGCAGGGUUCCUCUCAUGUGUCCAAUCUUAUUUGAACUUCUUGUCACGUUCAGGUGACAUAGCUGAAAAUUGGUCCAUGCCAGUUUCGGCCACUCUUGGAUUUUAAUGAGGACUCUAUCUUGUUACUGGGAUGCCACGCUGCUACUGUGUUCGCAGCUGCUGUGUUGAAAACAGGUGUCUCUUCUAAUCCCCCGACUGGAUCGGUUUGCUAGCCUGGCACAGCCUUAUUAUUAUUGUUAUUUAUUUAUUUAUUCUUGUCUCACGUAGGUCAGAUAACUGCCAGGAGCUGCUGGCGAGCAGGAUUAAUGGGAGAGAAGAUGGCAGCUUUUCUUGGUGGAGGUUUCUGUUAAAAGAAUCCACCUGAGAGUCUUAGACCAUAAAGACAGAGCUACGCGGAACUGUCUGGGAUCCGAAUCACAGGGGAGAGCAGCCAGAAGCAGGAUAGUAAUCAUAGUUCUGCCAAAUCACCUCUCGCUCCUUCUUCAAAGGCCGACGUGGCCACAGGAGCCGUCCAAGGCAGGGCAGCGAGCGGUGACCCUUCUCUGGUCCACGGCACAUGCACGGGCUCAUCCGCCGUUGCUUCUUCAGGCCACUGUAUCCUGAGCUCCUGGAGGGUGGGUGUGCGGUAUUGUCAGCCUGCCUGGCUGUCUGGUGCAGAGUCCACACCCCGUGACCCUCUCACUGUCCUUUCUUUUCCAUUCUGACCAGCACUGCCUUCCCCCUGGCCCCAGAAAUUGAGCACACCUGGCCCUUUUUUUUUUUUUCUUUUUCUUUUUUUUUUUUUUUUUUUUUUUUUUUGGCUUUUUGCCUUUUCUCGGGCCGCUCCUCAGCAAGUCGGUAUCCGAGCCGCGUCGGCGACCUACACCACAGCUCACGGCAACACCGGAUCCUUAACCCACUGAGGAAGGCCAGGGAUUGAACCCACAACCUCAUGGUUCCUAGUUGGAUUCGUUAACCACUGAGCCACGACGGGAACUCCUUUUUCUCCCCCCCCCCCCGCCCCGGCUCUUUCUGACGCUGCCAUUCAGGGUGAAACCCAGCUCUUUAUUGCAGCAUCGAGGCCCUGGACAGGCUGCCUUUCUGAAAUCUUCACCCUCCCACGCCCCUUUGUAUUCCAACCAAUACCUUCUCUUCUCGCCAACCACAGAAUGAACUUUCGUGCCUGAAAUCUUGCCCCGAUCCGUUUUCUGCCCAGUAGCCAACUUGUCAUCUGAAGCCAGUUUCUUAAGCCUUCUCUGGUGCUGUUGGGCACAGCGUCCUAUAAUACCAUUGAACAUGCCCCCGUUACUGGCAGUGAUCCUGUUAUAGCUUAAUUGUGUGCCAUCCUCUAGCUAGAGUGAAAGUACGCUGAGAGCAAGCGGUUGAUGGAUUGGUUUUAUAUUUCCAGUGCCCAGGGCAGGGCCUGGCACAGAGAAGAUCCAGUAUGUUAGUUGAAUCAAAUUUUUUUAAAAUCAGCAAGUAUUUUAAAAAAAAUUUUAUUGAAAUAUAGUUAGUUGAUGUAUACGGUUGUGUUUUAGGUGUACAGCUAAGUGAUUCAGUUGUACAUACGUAUGUAUGUAUUUUUUUAUUUUAAAAUUUAUUUCCAUUUUUUCUUCUUUUUAGGGCUGUACCUGCUGCAAAUGGAUGUUCCCAGACUAGGGGUCACAUGGGAGCUGCAGCUGCUGGCCUUCCUCAUGGCCGCAGCAACUCGGGAUCCAAGCCGCAUCUGCGACCUCCAUUACAGCUUGUGGCAACACCACUGAGUGAGGCCAAGGAUUGAACCCACAUGCUCAUGGAUACUAGUCGGGCUUUUAAUCCACCAGGCCACAACAGGAACUCCUAUAUGUGUAUAUAUCUUCUUUUGCAGAUUCUUCUCCAUUAUAUGUUAUUACAAAUUAUUAAGUGGAGUUCCUUGUGCUGUGGAGUAGGUCCUUGCUAGUUAUCUAUUUUAUGUAUAGUAGUGUAUAUAUUUUAAUGCCAAACUCGUAAAAUUUAUCCCUCCCCCGGGCCUUUCUCUCUUAGUAACGGUAAGUUUGUUUUCUAUGUCUGUGAGUCUGUUUCUGUUUUGUAAAUAAGUUCAUUUGUAUCAUUUUUUUUAGAUUGCACAUGUAAGUGUAGGUCAGCAAGUAUUUAUUAGGAUUCUAUUAUGAGCUCGGUGGAUAUUGGGCCCUGUGCUGUGUAAGAGAGUAUAAGUUGAAAACUUCACCCACUUUUGAAGUCCUGAGCAAAUACCCCUUGAAGGCAGAGGAAGGAAGGAAGGUAGAGACCUCAUGUCUGUUGCAGCGUCAGGACUGCAUAGCAGGGCCAACCGAUACCCAAGCUCCCCUAAGAGAUCUAAGCCCCCCCCCGCUCCGUGACCUAAGGCCCACCCAUAAGUCCUAAGGCCCACCCAUGAGACCAGAGGGCCCCCCCCCAUGAGACUAAGGCCCCCAUGUGACCUAAGUUCCCCCAUGAGACAAGAGCCCCCACCACAAGACCUAAGCCCCCCCCAUAUAACCUAAGGCCCCCCACGAGACCUAAAUCCUGCCUAUGAGACCUAAGCCUCUUCCACGAGACCAAGCCCCCGCCCCCACCAUGAGACCUAAAUCUUGAACAGACACGUGCAUACACGGCGCCUGCUCGCUCUUUCCCUCUUGAUUGCCCAUCUUGCAGCGAGGAACAGAGGCAGCUGGAGACUAGAGAACCUCUAGGCCGGGCUACAGAAGGGAGCCUGGACAGCUCCGUCCUCUUUUCUUGGCCCAGGAUGCAUCCCGGGUCAUCAGCUGGUGGCUGUUUGCUGUGGUCAUAGGCAGUCCUGAGAUUGCUGGGUGCGAUCCUUUGGGAGCCAGUGGUCUGUCACCACGGUGUGGGGCUGGCCGCUCCUCACCUCACCCAUCUGCUCCCUGGCUGGUGGAGGUGACCCAAGAGCAGAGCAGUACCUGAGCCUUCUGCGAAGGCUGGGAUUGCCUUUCCAGGAGCAGGGAGGCAUCUGACCUUUCCCCUGGUCAGCUCUCCAAUCUUCUGUUCCAGAUCCCAUGCUGUCUUCCACACUUGUCUCAGGGCUGAGCUCUAUUUAACUCCCAGAAGGUUGCCCAGGGUCUAAGCCUGAGUGUACCUCCAGGACUAGAAAACUGGCCCCAAGUCCCGACUUAGAACAGUCUGACAGUCUCAGCCUUCCUUCCUUCCUCCCUCCCUCCCUUCCUUCCUUUGUUAUCUUUUUAGGGCCACACCCACAGCAUAUGGAGGUUCCCAGGCUAGGGGUCAAAUUGGAGCUGUAGCCUGCAGCCUACACCACAGCCAGAGCAACACCAGAUCCUUAAUCCUCUGAAUGCGGCCAAGGAUCAGACCCGUGUCCUCAUGGAUGCUAGUUGGGUUCUUCACCCGCUGAGUCACAACGGGAACUCCAGCCUCAACAUUUCUGUUUACAGUGGACAUCUCAAUGCUCUGUGCUUAAAGAGGAGACUGUUAGGAGAGUGUAGAGUUAGGAACAAUCUGACGAGUGUGAGAGGGACCCAUCUGGAGAAGCCAGGUAUUUUCAGGUACAGACAGACACACCUGAGCCUUCCAUGCAAGCCCAGGUAUUCAUUUUCUGCCUUUGCUUAUUGCCUUUGACGUAUAGCUGGGAUUCAGGGCUUUCCAGGGGCAACGUUCAACUUCUCCAGCCCAGCCAGACCUCAGCAAGUGUUCUUUCACAGUUCCCCCAAACUGUCACCUGCCAGGUUUUCCUGACCCCCUGCCUUUCCCCGAGCUGCCUUGCAGCAUCCUGUCCGCCUUCCUGAUCUUGGUCUCCUCCUGGCUGCAGGUGGGGCUGUCUCUCUGCUGCUUUGCCCUAGGCCCUUCUGUGCCUGCAGGGCACCCAGGAUUGGUUUCCCUUGCCUCCCAGGCAGGCUUACCAGCAGUUGUGUGGCAAGUCAGCAGCUGUUAACAGGAAUGCCCAGCGAAGCCACACUGGGGAGCAGCAGAGCAUAGGUCCGUGUGCAUCCAGUGAAAAGGCACGUUUAUGAAGCUGCCGAGGUGGGGGUGGCCACAAAGGGUGUGCCUUUUUCAGAACACUCAGCGCAUACGCCUCAAACUUGGACCACGUGGUGCUGUCCUGUUUCCUUCCUCCCACCGUUGCUACCCUUGCUCACCUCUCCACGGCCAAGGCUGUUGAUGGAAAGGCCAUUUCCUUCUCGUCCACUUCCUUUCUCUUCCCUCCAGUCUGACAAGACCCAAGGGUAAGCUUACUCUUUGGGAACACGGGAACCUGGGCUUAGCACUGGUGGGAGCUUGGGUUCCUGAAAAUCAGUGGGAACAAUCUAAUCUUGGGACUGUCUCCCUUUCAGUCCUGCGAGGAAUUUCAAUCCUAGUUCUAGCCACCUGCUUAAGGACAAACUUUAGAACCUCUGUGACUAUUUUAGGGCGGUCAUUGUUUUCACUUGAAGUUGCUGAAAGAUUGACCUGCCCAGGAGGAAAAUUUCAGGACUCGUUCUUUAAUGGGCUGUUGAAAUAGAAAUGAGAUAACAAAUAUCCAUGCAAUGGCGUGGGGUGGGCAACCCCCCUCUCCCCGCCGCCCCAAGCAGGAGUUGUCAUCUUUUCCAAACCCUAAAAAUUGUGACAUUGAAGGACUUCUCGUUGUUUGUCGCGUAUGUGGCAAGUCUUACAAAAGGGUACGCUGUUCGUUUUUUCAACAAACUAGCUCUUGUCAAAAAUAAAAUUGCACGAGAUCAGGCCUGUUGAGGAGUAGCCUUCGUCCCAGCGAGCGUUCCAGGGUGGCCAAGGUGACACUCCGUGACCAAAGACACCAGACUGUGGGUCUUCGCUGUACUUCCUCCAGUUUUAGGACCCUUGGCUGGUCUUGAGGAGUAGUGAGUAUGUUUGUCUUUUUUCUGGAUGAACGUUGCAGGGACAAUUAAGCCUUCUUCUGCCUCAGGGCAGAAUCCGAUCCCACGCUGAGAUCAGGAAGAAGCUUUCCUCAUAGAAUCAGAUUGCACGGUUGCCCAGCCAGGUGUGCUACCUCUGCUAAAUACAGAGAACCCGCACAGGCCUCCUUACUGGCCAUCUCAGAGCAGGAAGUUGGAUCCUUGGCCAGCAGCCUGAUUCCCUUGGCACAUCCUGCUCUCGAAGAUGGCAGGCAGCCGCCCUGGUGCUCUUGGACUUGGCUUUCCUCCAGCUGUGCUGUGCUGGGUCUUUAGACCCCUACAACCCUUUGCAAUUCUCACUUUGCAGGAGAUUUGAACGUGUGUCUCAGCAUCCACCCACCCACCCAAUGCAUACACGUGGACGCACGUACCCUCAUCUUUAAAAGAGUUUUGCAUGAAUUUGCUUCCCCUUUCCUGGGCUUUGCUUUGGUCCGACACCACAUCCAACCCAUAUGCAUUCCCGGAACAUCAAAAUGCCAUUCGCAGCGCACAGUCGAAUUUUUUAAGGCUUGCAGGUACCAGUCUCAAGCUUGUGUUGUACAUGACUUUGAAGUCUGAUCUAAAGAAGGUGGGAGCUGGGGAGAGAUGGCCUUUUUUUUUUUCGGUCAGGUCCCAGCUGAGGCCCUCUAGUGAGGCAGGAUAGUGACCCUCACUUCCCAGGCUGGCCUGCCUGCAUUUUUUCCCCUUUGCAUCCCUAUCUUCCGUGGUGCAGCACUUCCUUCCGUCUCUAUUAUUGGCUUACUUAGCUCUGCCGUUCAGUCUCCCGGCUCCCUCCUCCUCUUCCCUCAGUCUUUCUUUUCCCUGUUAUUUUGGGGGAGUGCUUCCCAUGUUCUAUUCAAAGGGGAACCUUCUUUAUUCUAAAGUAAAUUUGUUUCUCCUUCAUUUCGUCAUGCAUUCAUUCAUAUUCCCAGAGUAGAAACCCUCGCCCUCCAGCCUGUAACGUCUGGCUCGUCACCCUUUACAACAGGAUAUGCUGACCCGGACGUGCUGAGGCGAGAGCUCCAAAAACAGGUUUGCUCCAUCCUGAGACUGGGGGCUCAGAUGCCCUGAUGGCCACUCGCUCAUCUUUAUACCAUCUCUUGCCCUUGUUUUAGCUUUUUGAUGAUUCUGCCCCAAACGUGUUCUUUCCCCCAAUUACUUAGUUAUUAUUUUUAAAAAUUGAAGUACAGUUAAUGUACAGUUGUUCGAUCCCUGGCCUCACUCAGUGGGUUAAGGAUCUGGCGUUGCUGUGAGCCGCAGGGUAGGUCACAGACGUGGCUCAGAUCUAGUCUAUAUUGCUGUGGCCUAUUGGUGUAGGCCGGCAGCUGUAGCUCCCAUUCAAUCCCUAGCCAGGGAGCUUCCAUAUGCUGCAGGUGCAGCCCUAAAAAAAAGAGAAGUGAUGGGAAUGGAAGGACCGAAACCUCAAAAGUUAUUGUGGCUUUCUCCUCAGGACAGGGGUUCCCUCGUCCACCCCGAACACUUGCAUCUCCGUGGUCCUAAAAAAGAGGAGAGGAGAAAGGCGAUGGUUCUUUUCGAACUUGGUUUUAGCCUCUGCUGCAAUUCCAAAACAAUGAAGACUCACCAAGACUUGGGAGUCCACUGGGGUUUAGUGGGUGGGGCAGAAAACAGGGAUUCUGGCUCAAGACGGCUGCUAUAGCGUGAGCGUUGAUGAAGAGAGUGUGGGUUGGAAGUUACUUAUUAGACCCGUUCGUUAUACCUUGGCUGGUAUUCAGAGCUUGGGUCUCCCUGUCACCAUGACGAAGGAUGGGAGCCAGCAGCAUCGUGGCCUGUCCAAUCCAUUCUGACUGCCGAGCCCUUGUUAUUUAGAAGAUUGUCAUUGGAAUCAGAGUUUAGACCCUCAGAGCCAUGGCUUGGAGGAGAUUCAGGCAACGCUCAAACUAGAACCCCAGACUUCUGACGCCCUGCCAGCUUACUGACCUCCAGCUUGUGUUUGGUUUUCUUUCUGGCGUGUUUUCACAAUAACAGAAACGUUCAAGUCAAAUCACUCUACUAAGUGGGAAAAUUUUUUUUUUAGGUCAACCAGGGGAAUGGAGUGAAUAGAUUUACUUUUCAGUUGGGUGUGUUUGGUCAUGUGAAGAAAACCACACACUCAGAAAGUCUUCGUGUUAGGAUUUUUUUUAACUCAAAAUGAUUAAAGGGCGGUGGAGUAGGGAACAGACCUUCUACAUAGCACACUGUCUACACCUCCGUUCGGUUACCUGCACUCCUGUUGGGUGUUUUGGGGCUCGUUUGAAGGUGAGAGGUUGGUUCUGGCCCCCUGACCACCCCGUCUCCUUCUGCUAAGGAAAUAUUCUCAUGAGUUUUUUUUUUUUUUUUUUUUCUUUUACAAUGUGCUUAGACUGUGAAAAGGCACCAACUUCCAGCCCAAACUGAAUCGCCUCCGAGAUCCUAUUAAACAGCGAAUGCCCCGCACACCACUGUAUGAAAAUGUUUUUCUAGGAUGAGCUCAAAGCAUUUCAUCCUCCAAAUGAAAUCUAUCUGCUCGCACUUAGAUUGUUCGAAGGCAGAUGGUAGGCAAUUGAAACAGAGAGGCAAGCUG